GCCCAGGUGGCGGAAUUGGUAGACGCGUUGGUCUCAAACACCAAUGGUGCAAACCGUGCCGGUUCGAUUCCGGCUCUGGGUACAA
rnacentral:tRNA from 2 species